rnacentral:rRNA from 1 species
CCUACGGGCGGCAGCAGUGGGGAAUAUUGGGCAAUGGGCGCAAGCCUGACCCAGCAACGCCGCGUGAAGGAAGACGGCUUUCUGGUUGUAAACUUCCUUUAAGAGGGAAGAGCAGAAGACGGUACCUCUUGAAUAAGCCACGGCUAACUACGUGCCAGCAGCCGCGGUGAAACGUAGGUGGCAAGCGUUGUCCGGAUUUACUGGGUGUAAAGGGCGUGCAGCCGGGAAGACAAGUCAGAUGGGAAAUCCCGCGGCUCAACCGCGGAACUGCAGUUGAAACUGAUGUUCUUGAGUACCGGAGAGGUCAGCGGAAUGCGUGGUGUAGCGGUGAAAUGCGUAGAUAUAAGGAAGAACACCGGUGGCGAAGGCGGAUGACUGGACGGCAACUGACGGUGAGGCGCGAAAGCGUGGGGAGCGAACAGGAUUAGAUACCCCAGUAGUC